GGGGGUGUAGCUCAGUUGGGAGAGCGACUGGUUUGCAACCAGUAGGUCAGCGGUUCAACUCCGCUCAUCUCCA
rnacentral:tRNA from 1 species